AGAAACCCCAGGCGGGUCUGCUUGCUGUUGCUGCUUCAGUUUCUCCUUGCUGCUGCCCCCGAGGUCGCCUCACCUCUUCUCUCUCCGCAGACGUCACCCACGUUUGGGUGUGGGCGGAGCUGACACAAGCCUUGGCUGGGCAAGGAAAAUGUCAUCCUCUUGCCUUUUUUCUUGACUGAAGUCAAGAAAGUCAUUCCUUUGCCCGGUCAAGCUUCUGUUGGUGGAAGGGAGUUUUUUUUUCUUGCCCGGUCACCACCUCAGCAAAUCCAUGCUUUGCCCGGUUAAAGAGGAACCGGUGGACUUGCUCUUAUCAAUGUUAAAAGCAUUCUCCAACCUCCCUCUCAUCAGUUAGAAGAACAGAGAGCUCAACCACAUUUACAAAUACAAAGCAAAUAGGCUUCCUCUGGCUGGGAGAGACUUGGUUUGAAGGAACGUGCUUUGACAGAUGCCAACAAUAGGAAGGAGCUGAGGUCGAGUCACACUAAUGGAACAAAGACUUUUGCACAGAUGCGAUAAGAAUAUGAACAAGUGAAUGGUUAUGCUCCUGAUCGCAUAACAUUUUUCACAAUGACACAUACUCGUGAAGACGGAACAAUAGUAGAUGCCAAGUCAUCAGAUAUAAUAGCCAAGUUCAAAAAUGGAUUAAAGGAGUAUGAAGAAGGGCAGGAGAUAAUGACAGAUGAGAUCCGCCACAAAGUGUACAGUGAUGUACUUGGUCCAGAGAAAAGGAAUUGCGUUAGAGGUUAUGGUUUAGGAGUCCAAUUCACUGAUGUUCCAGGAGUUGUCACUGAGGUAAGAGGUAUGUGUAGGGAAGUGCAUACUCUCAGAGCUGCAUGAGAGCAACAAAAGAAGCUCAUGUUGAAAUAGAGAGUUUAAGGUUGGCUAAUAUCAACUUGGCUGAAGAAUUGAGACACGAGCAAGCCGUAACAAUGGAGGCACACAAGAAAAAGAUGGAAGAUUCAUUUGCAAAAAUGAAGGAAAACAUGAUGAAUGAGGUAAACAAGUUGCUUCAUAACUCAUCAAGUACUGAUGGUGAAAGAGGUGUAAUGGAGAAUCAAAUGGCAUCAAAGGACAGAAUAGAUGAAGAGGAUUGUGUAAUGGCUGAUCAGGGGAAUGUUGAGGUCUAUUCACCAAUUAUGACAUUUGAUCUGAACAGUCUGUGAAGCUCAAGGUAAAUAUUAACUAUGUUUUUGUGCUCUUUUGGCAUAAAUCAAGUUAGGAUGAUGUUAGUUCUCUUCUAAGGCCAUCAACAUUCCCAUUGAAAUGGAGGAGCUUGUUCAAAUAGAUUGACUGCCCAGCAAUGUGGUGUUACUUUUUGAAAAAGAUGGAAGAUUUGAAUGGUUUAGCACAAUAGAGUAGGUGAAGUGUAUUAGGUAGGUAUUAUUAAUCUUUUAGGUCUAUGAACUUUGUAUUGACUCUAUUGGGAUGUAAAUGUCGUUCUGAUGUAAUGUUAAUAUUGAUGAUAAUUAAUUUUACC